UACCAGCACCCCGAGUGGUCGGGACGUUUAUUGGGCCUAAAGCAUCCGUGGCCGGUUCUACAAGUCUUCCGUUAAAUCCACCUGCUUAACAGAUGGGCUGCGGAAGAUACUAUGGAGCUAGGACGCGGGAGAGGCAAGCGGUACUCGAUGGGUAGGGGUAAAAUCCGUUGAUCCAUUGAAGACCACCAGUGGCGAAGGCGGCUUGCCAGAACGCGCUCGGCGGUGAGGGAUGAAAGCUGGGGGAGCAAACCGG
rnacentral:rRNA from 1 species